GGCUUGGUAGCUGAGUGGUAAAGUGCUUGACUUACGAACUGGAGUCCCAGGCUCGAAUCCUGGUGAAGACU
rnacentral:tRNA from 1 species